rnacentral:tRNA from 5 species
GGAUCUUUAGCUCAGUUGGUUUAGAGCUGACGGCUCAUAACCGUCCGGUCGUAGGUUCGAGUCCUACAAGAUCCA